CCGGCUUACCAACCCGAUGCAAACUGCGAAUACCGGAGAAUGUUAUCACGGGAGACACACGGCGGGUGCUAACGUCCGUCGUGAAGAGGGAAACAACCCAGACCGCCAGCUAAGGUCCCAAAGUCAUGGUUAAGUGGGAAACGAUGUGGGAAGGCCCAGACAGCCAGGAUGUUGGCUUAGAAGCAGCCAUCAUUUAAAGAAAGCGUAAUAGCUCACUGGUCGAGUCGGCCUGCGCGGAAGAUGUAACGGGGCUAAACCAUGCACCGAAGCUGCGGCAGCGACACUGUGUGUUGUUGGGUAGGGGAGCGUUCUGUAAGCCUGUGAAGGUGUGUCGUGAGGCAUGCUGGAGGUAUCAGAAGUGCGAAUGCUGACAUAAGUAACGAUAAAGCGGGUGAAAAGCCCGCUCGCCGGAAGACCAAGGGUUCCUGUCCAACGUUAAUCGGGGCAGGGUGAGUCGACCCCUAAGGCGAGGCCGAAAGGCGUAGUCGAUGGGAAACGGGUUAAUAUUCCCGUACUUGGUGUUACUGCGAAGGGGGGACGGAGAAGGCUAUGUUGGCCGGGCGACGGUUGUCCCGGUUUAAGCGUGUAGGUGUGUGUUCCAGGUAAAUCCGGUUCACUUUAACACUGAGGCGUGACGACGAGGCACUACGGUGCUGAAGCAACAAAUGCCCUGCUUCCAGGAAAAGCCUCUAAGCAUCAGGUAACAUCAAAUCGUACCCCAAACCGACACAGGUGGUCAGGUAGAGAAUACCAAGGCGCUUGAGAGAACUCGGGUGAAGGAACUAGGCAAAAUGGUGCCGUAACUUCGGGAGAAGGCACGCUGACACGUAGGUGAAGUGAUUUACUCAUGGAGCUGAAGUCAGUCGAAGAUACCAGCUGGCUGCAACUGUUUAUUAAAAACACAGCACUGUGCAAACACGAAAGUGGACGUAUACGGUGUGACGCCUGCCCGGUGCCGGAAGGUUAAUUGAUGGGGUCAGCGCAAGCGAAGCUCCUGAUCGAAGCCCCGGUAAACGGCGGCCGUAACUAUAACGGUCCUAAGGUAGCGAAAUUCCUUGUCGGGUAAGUUCCGACCUGCACGAAUGGCGUAAUGAUGGCCAGGCUGUCUCCACCCGAGACUCAGUGAAAUUGAACUCGCUGUGAAGAUGCAGUGUACCCGCGGCAAGACGGAAAGACCCCGUGAACCUUUACUAUAGCUUGACACUGAACAUUGAGCCUUGAUGUGUAGGAUAGGUGGGAGGCUUUGAAGUGUGGACGCCAGUCUGCAUGGAGCCGACCUUGAAAUACCACCCUUUAAUGUUUGAUGUUCUAACGUGGACCCGUUACCCGGGUUGCGGACAGUGUCUGGUGGGUAGUUUGACUGGGGCGGUCUCCUCCUAAAGAGUAACGGAGGAGCACGA
rnacentral:rRNA from 2 species